rnacentral:rRNA from 1 species
UGGGAAUAUUGGCACAAUGGGCGCAAGGCCUGAUGCAGCCAUGCCGCGUGUGUGAAGAAGGCCUUCGGGUUGUAAAGCACUUUCAGCGAGGAGGAAGGUGGUGAACUUAAUACGUUCAUCAAUUGACGUUACUCGCAGAAGAAGCACCGGCUAACUCCGUGCCAGCAGCCGCGGUAAUACGGAGGGUGCAAGCGUUAAUCGGAAUUACUGGGCGUAAAGCGCACGCAGGCGGUUUGUUAAGUCAGAUGUGAAAUCCCCGGGCUCAACCUGGGAACUGCAUUUGAAACUGGCAAGCUAGAGUCUCGUAGAGGGGGGUAGAAUUCCAGGUGUAGCGGUGAAAUGCGUAGAGAUCUGGAGGAAUACCGGUGGCGAAGGCGGCCCCCUGGACGAAGACUGACGCUCAGGUGCGAAAAGCGUGGGGAGCAAACAGAUUAGAUACCCUGGUAGU